GCGGGAGUAGCUUAGUUGGUAGAGCGAUUCCUUGCCAAGGAAUAGGUCGCGGGUUCAAGUCCCGUCUCCCGCU
rnacentral:tRNA from 2 species